ACGGGAUCCAUCGGAGAGCUUGCUCGAAGAUGGUGAGAGUGGCGCACGGGUGCGUAACGCGUGAGCAACCUACCUCUAUCAGGGGGAUAGCCUCUCGAAAGAGAGAUUAACACCGCAUAACAUCAACAGUUCGCAUGUUCGGUUGAUUAAAUAUUUAUAGGAUAGAGAUGGGCUCGCGUGACAUUAGCUAGUUGGUAGGGUAACGGCUUACCAAGGCGACGAUGUCUAGGGGCUCUGAGAGGAGAAUCCCCCACACUGGUACUGAGACACGGACCAGACUCCUACGGGAGGCAGCAGUAAGGAAUAUUGGUCAAUGGGCGGAAGCCUGAACCAGCCAUGCCGCGUGCAGGAUGACUGCCCUAUGGGUUGUAAACUGCUUUUGUCCAGGAAUAAACCUAAAUACGUGUAUUUAGCUGAAUGUACUGGAAGAAUAAGGAUCGGCUAACUCCGUGCCAGCAGCCGCGGUAAUACGGAGGAUCCGAGCGUUAUCCGGAUUUAUUGGGUUUAAAGGGUGCGUAGGCGGCCUAUUAAGUCAGGGGUGAAAUACGGUGGCUCAACCAUCGCAGUGCCUUUGAUACUGAUGGGCUUGAAUCCAUUUGAAGUGGGCGGAAUAAGACAAGUAGCGGUGAAAUGCAUAGAUAUGUCUUAGAACUCCGAUUGCGAAGGCAGCUCACUAAGCUGGUAUUGACGCUGAUGCACGAAAGCGUGGGGAUCGAACAGGAUUAGAUACCCUGGUAGUCCACGCCCUAAACGAUGAUAACUCGA
rnacentral:rRNA from 1 species